GAGGCGGCGGGGCGGGCGCUGCCUUGAAGCAAGCGAGCGAGCGAAGGAGCGGAGGGGCGGCCCGGGCGAAGCGGCCAUGCCAUGCCCGCGCUGAAGCGAUGCCUGUCCGGCGCUGCCUCCGGCCGCCGAGAGCGGAGGGCCGCCGGCGCCGUCACAGCCGCCCCGGCCGCGUCUCGCCCGCCGCCGCUUUUCCCUCGGCGGCCCCGGGCUGGCGGCGCUGGUGCCUGCUGUGCUGCCUGCUGGGCGGCGGGCUGGCCGAGGCGAGCGCCACCCCGCGCGGAUGCCAGCAGUCCUGCGGGCCCGAGUGCGCCUGCCGCGCCGUGGGCAACGCCGCCUGCGCCGUCGACUGCGCCGGCCGCGGCUUGGAGCUGCCGCCCGGACCGGCCUGGCCCGCCGGCACCGUGGAGCUGGAUCUCUCCAGUAACAAGAUCAGCACCUUAAAUGCUGAAGUGUUCCUGCACUUGACUUCUCUGGCAAAACUAGAUUUAAGCAACAACAGGAUUUCUUCGUUAGAAGAUGGAGUAUUUGAUAAUUUAUUUAAUUUAACUGAAAUAGACUUAAGUGGGAAUCCGUUUUUUUGUGAUUGCAAUCUGGCCUGGCUCCCCCGUUGGGUUGAAGAGAGAAAUGUGAAGGUGUCCCGUCGGUCCGAGACUCAGUGUGCUCAGCCUCUGGAACUGGCCGACCUUCCGCUUUUCAACGUCUCCUUCAGUGACGCUACUUGUGGAGCCGAUUACGUUGCCUGCCUGCCGGAGAACAGCACAGGCGGAGCUGAGUCCAUCAUCCGAUUCACUUCCCGUUUGCCACAGAACCUGACGGAGGAGAUGUGCAGCGCCCUUUGCUAUGCCGACGGGCAAGACUAUGGGGGCUUCAGUGAGGAAGCCGACUGCUUUUGUGGCUUUGCCCUGGAGCCCAACGUUUCCUCUGGCUGUUUGCCCUUCUGUGCCAGGCCCCUGGCUGGACCCCUCUGUGGGGGCCCAACGCUGCUUUCCAGGGUCUUUCCGGCUGUGCUGCCCGUGUCCUUGGAGGGCCUGGGGACACCGUGCAGUCUUUACCAAGAGGUGGCUUUCGUUCUCCACCUUCCGGUUGCUGUGGGCACCAUUCAGUGGGACUUUGGGGAUGAAACGGGGCUUUUCAAUACCACCAAGACCACCGUCCUUCAGGUCUAUACGUUGCCAGGACUCUUCAACGUCACAGCCACUGUUUUUGUCGGCAACCGGUUUGUCUCGGCGCAGACCGAAAUCGAGGUGCUGGCCUCCCCAGAGGAAAUGGCGCUUCAGUGUCCCUCUUUGGUGAAGACCAAUGAAAGUUUACAGUUACAUAUAAGGAAUCGUGGAGGAACCGGCUUCUCGGUGGCCUAUAACAUCACUAUCCAGGACCAGGAGCCCGGAAGAGUGGUCCUUCCUGGUUGCCCCUCGGACAGCGUGCUCUUCCCUGGGAACAGCCACUGCUAUUGGCUUGGAGCAGAAAAAGCAGAAUGGCUGGAGGCCCAGAGGCUUUGCCAAGAACACGGCAGUGGAAGCCUGGCCUUUGUCAGCAGCCCCGAAAUCCAGAACUUCUUGGUGUCCAGUGUCACCAGGAGCCUGGAUGUCUGGAUCGGCUUUAAUGACGUGGCAAGCCCUAGCCCUUUGCCACAAGGCGAGGAAGGCUUCGAUCUGCAGAGCUGCCAGAACUGGCUCCCGGGUGAACCCCAUCCCUCCAACGCCGACCACUGUGUCCGGAUGGGUCCUGCUGGGCAGUGCAACACCGAUCUCUGUACGGCCAAGCACAGCUACGUGUGCGAGCACAAGCCACAAGUAGAGAUUCUUCUAAAUGCUGACCGCUUUUCACUGGGAUCUCUUGCGUUUGACACCUAUGUGGCCACCAGAAGCCUGACCGAAAGGGAAGAACCUUCUGCCCCAUCAGGGCCAGUAGAGACUCUGGUGUUUCCCAGCUUGGCAUUUCAACAGGAGGGCUUUUUAGUAGCCCUGGAGCUGGUGACGCAGAAACUACAGCAGCCGGCCCAUAUCCGGUUUCAAGUACACCGUCCAGCCCACCCAAAAGGUUGCAACGAGAUCACGAACGUCACUGACCUCUUCCUUGUUUCCCAAGAGAAUGAGACGUGGACACCAAUGGACUGUCCAGUUGGCCUCCAGUGGUGCCAUUCGGCCAACUCAUGCCAACCACUAGGAAGCUGCUGCUGCCACCAAGAGCCGUGUGCCAACUCAACAACUCAGGCAGCUGUUGGUGUUCCUCACCCCUGCAAAAAUAAAUCCUGGAGCAUGGAGCUUAAGACGUCACAUUUUAUGUUGCCCCUGGGCCCUUCCACACGGUACCUUCUGCUCUUCAGAAGCAAGGACACCUUUGUCAAACCCAACGAUACAGUGAGCGUCCAGCAUGAUGCCGGGCCUGGCGCUUUGCUCCUUUGCCAUCCCAGCCAAAAGCCGCUUACCCAGAUGAGCUAUUUCACCGUCAGCUCUUCGGAUUGGGACCCAGGCUGGCCUGCCCACCCCGCUCCCCAAGCCUGGCAAAACGAUUCCAGGUGCCCUUUCAGGGUGCUGGCGGCUGCUGAAGAGACUGUCCCCCUCCUGCUGAGAAACCACUCCAGCGUUCACCGCCCUGGCCUUUAUGAGGUGCAGGCCACAGUCCACAACAGUCUCUUCAGGAGGAACUUCUCCUGCAACUUCUGGGCUCUUUCUGCGAUCUCAGGCCUCCGUGUUAUUUACCCUCUGGAAAAAAGUGGCAAAGUCUACGUGGAAAGCAACAGCACGUGGCUGGUGGUGAAAAUCCUUUCCGGGAUGAACGCCACUUCCGGCAGGCUGGGGGGCAACCAGAGCUUCCCUUUUGGUCGGAGUUGCCCCCCAGCAGUCACUCCACUGGUGGCCGAGUGCGCAAGAGAGAGCAAUGACACCUGGUUCUCUGUGAUCCUGCUGGAGGGCAUUGGGCACAACCUGAGCACCGUUGUGCUGUGGGCCAAGAAUGCCGUGAGCUCGCAGAACGUCACUGUCAGGGUGAAAGCAGAGGACGCCAUCCGAGGACUCCGUGUGAUGCCAGACCCAGAGACCAGAGUCCUUCAGAACAAGCGUGUGAGCUACAUCCCUGUGAUGGACGCUGGGUCGGACGUCACCUUCAGGUGGAGACUGGAUGACAAGAGCUCCUUUACUUUCUACAAUGAUGUCUUCCAUGUCCUUUACCAGUCCCCAGCUGUGUACAAGCUAUCGCUCACAGCCUCAAACAACGUCAGCAACAUCACCGUCUGCUACAACAUCACUGUGGAGGAGAUGAACAGGAUGAAGGACCUGAAGGUCUCGGAGAUCUUGACCCACAUCCCUCAGAACAGCAGCGUGGAACUGUCCGCAACCGUGAUGGUGGAUUCGGCUGUCGAUGCCAGAUUCCUGUGGGACUUUGGUGAUGGUGACCAAGCCAUUUUGGAGUUUUAUCCUCCCUAUAAUGAAUCCUUCCUGAAGCCAGAUCCCAAGAUCCACCAGGUGCAAAUUGGGCACAAUCUAUCCCAUGUCUACCAAGACCCAGGUGAAUACAGCCUGACUGUUAUAGUCUCCAAUGAGUUUGAGAACCUGACUUAUUCAACCCUUGUCCACAUCUAUGCUCACCUAACAGAAGUGACCAUGCAAGUAGCCUCAGAUGUUUUGGUCGUGGGCCAUCCUGUCACCUUUGAAGCCCAAGCGAUGCCCUCUGGCUUCGGAGUCUCUUAUACCUGGAAUUUUGGGGAUGGUUCAGAAGCAUUUGUGGAAAGCCAGGCCGCCAUAGUCCAUACCUACAGUUCCAGAGGAACGUACAAGGUCAGGGUGCAAGCAAACAACACCAUUAGCACUGUUGAGACGUGGCAGCAUUACCGGGUCUUUGAAGAGAUCAGUGGGUUGUGGGUGUCCUUGAAUGAAACCAUAGAGCUUCGCACCGUGAUUGAGAUCAGCGCUUCUGUGGAAACAGGAGAUAAUAUCACCUGGGUAUUUGACAUGGGCGAUGGGACCAUCGUGGAGACUCCUGUGGCAUCUGUAAAACAUACUUAUUUAGAGGAGAUGAACUGUACCGUAAACGUAACUGCGAUGAAUCCGGUCAAUUCUCUGUCCCGAGCUGUGGCCGUCCAGAUAUUUGUGCUAAUGGUGCUCAAGAUUGACCCUUCCUCUUGUAUAAGAGAAGACCCUGAAGUACAGCUCACAGCUCACGUUUCAGGUAAUCCCCAAAACUACUUUUUUGACUGGACAUUUGGCGACGGCUCAUCCAACAUCACCGUGUACGGUGAUCCAACAGUGAUACACAAUUUCACCAUCAGUGGCAUCUUCCCCCUGUCUUUGGUCCUUUCCAGCAAGGUCAACAAAGCAGAGUAUUAUACAGAGAUUUGCGUGGAGCCAGAGAUCACCAAUGUGACACUUUUGGUAAGGCCAGAACUGGUGUGGCUCGGCAACGAGACCAAAUUUCAAGUCACAGCCUUGCCACCUUACCGCUACCGUUAUCUUUGGGACUUUGGGACGAAUGACUCCGCCAGGUUUGGUGGGACCGAAGUGAGCUAUACCUACAAAAGUCCAGGUGACUAUAUGGUCAUGGUGACCGUCUGCAACAAUGUCUCUUUCAACAAUGUCUCAGCAUUAGUGGAAGUCCAGGAGCCGGUUGGGGUGGCCAAGAUCGAGUCAAACAGCUCAAAGGUUUUGGAGCUGAACCAAGUUUAUCUCUUCUGGGCCAAUGUCACUGGGACCAAAGUUAGUUAUUUGUGGUACUUUGGGGAUGGGAUUUCCCAGUUGGGAAAAUUCAUCACUCAUUCUUACAACAAGAGUGGUACCCAUACCAUCAGUUUGACGUGCUGGAACGAUGUCAGCUUCCACGAGGCCAAGAUGAACGUGACGGUGAAGAGGCGCCUGCAGGGCCUAAGCAUUAACGCCAGCAGGACGGUGGUGCCUCUAAACGGUUCUGUGAGUUUCACUGCUACCCUCCUGGCGGGCACUGCCAUCCGCUACUCUUGGAUCUUGUGCGACAGGUGCACUCCCAUCCCAGGUCUUUCCACCAUUUCCUACACUUUCCGCUCCGUUGGGACGUUCAAUGUGAUUGUGACAGCCGAGAAUGAGAUCGGGGGCCUGCAGAGCAGCAUCUUCAUUUAUGUCUUGCAGCAGAUAGAAGGGCUGCAGAUCACUGGGGGAGACUUCCUGGACAACAUUUACUUCCCCACCAAUAAGACGCUGCAACUACAAGCAGCUGUGAAAGAUGGAACAAACAUCUCUUACAGCUGGACUGUCGAGAAGGAAAGUCACCCUGUGCAGACGUUUACUGGGAAGGCUUUCUCUUUAAUCAUUUUGGAAGCAGGCAUCUUUGCUGUCCAUCUGAAAGCCACCAACAUGCUGGGAAGCUCGGCCGUCAACAAGACAGUGGAGUUCAUUGAGGAGGUGGGCGCCUUAAAGCCAACCGCCACCCCCAAUCCUGCUGCAGUCAAUGCAACUGUUAACAUAAGCGCCAGUGCGGCUGCCGGAAGUGGGCUGCUGUACACUUGGCACUUUGAAGAUGGCCUUUCUCUCUGCACAGCCUCCAGUACCAUCACACACUCUUUCCCGAGCCCAGGAGCCCAAACCGUUACCGUGGUGGCAGGAAACACGUUUGGUUCUGCCAAUGCAUCCCUUGUGGUAUGCGUACAGGAACCAGUAGCGGGCCCAGAGAUUAGGAUCGUAAGGCCAAACAGCAGUUCUGUAGAAUCGGGUACCGUGGUGAACUUUGCUGGGGAGCUUGAAAGGGGAUCUGACAUACUCUGGAUGUGGAAGAUGCAGGACAAAACCAUCUCAGGCCAAAGGGUGGCUCUCAAUUUUCCCGUGGCAGGAUUUUUUCCUGUCUGCUUGAACGCUUCUAAUGACGUCAGCUGGGACGUAGCUUGCCUCAAUCUGACGGUGCAAGAUGCAAUCCAGGGCCUGAAGCUCAGCGUAAGUAAGGACGUGCUGCAGCCAGGGGAACUGGUCUCUUUUGAGGUUGAAAUAUCUUCUGGUUCCUCCGUGAGCUAUAGGGUCACCGUCGGGCAUAACCACUCCGAGAUCCUAAGUACUUCCAGCUUCACCUACAAGUUCAGCCAAGUUGGAGAGUACUUAGUGAGAAUAACUGCAGAGAAUCAAGUAAGUGUGGCUUACACUGAGCAUCUUAUCGUGGUGCUGGAGGCCGUGCGUGGCCUCCAGAUCACUGAUUGCUGUGAACGAGGAAUGCCGGCUGCGGUGGAGAAACAGUUCACAGCUCGGAUUGAGAGUGGCUCACAGGUGUCUUACGUCUGGCAGUUCACCUUAAUAAAAGAGCAGCAGCGCUCCCAGGUUCACUUAGAGGGUCAAAGUGUCUCUUACACCCCAGAAGCAGCGGGGCAGUUGGACAUCCACCUGUGCGCUUUCAACAGUCUGAGCAGCCUGAACAUAACUGUGGUGACCCAAGUCCAAGAUUUCAUCCUCCAGCUUUCCAUCCAGCCCAUUGAUUCCUUUGUCAACCGCACAACUUUGUUCGAAGCCUCCGUGCUGCCCAGUGCCAGAGAAGUCCUGUUCUGGUGGCAUUUUGGGGAUGGCUCUCCAGCUGUGCAAACGAGCGUGCCAUUGGUCAGCCAUGUUUAUCUGAGGCCUGGCGAUUAUGCGGUGGGGGUGAACGCCACCAACCUCAUCAGCUUCUCCAUUGCCCACUGCACGGUCACCGUCCGAAUCCUGGAGUGCGAGGAACCAGAAGCAGAGCUUGCUUUACCUGCUCAGGUGUUUAUGAAAAGAUCCCAGAAGAAUUAUCUGGAGGCCCAGAUUGACUUGCGAGGAUGCACCAGGUACCAGACUGCCUACCUCUGGGAGAUCUACAAAGCCCCGAGCUGCCUACACCUGGAGGCUUUUGCCAAAGUCCAGUUGGUCGGCGUGGAUGUGAGCCGGCCACAGUUGGUCAUCCCCAAGCUUACCUUGGAUCUCGGCAACUACUGCUUCAAAUUCUUGGUCUCUUUUGGUGAUACUCCUCUGUCUAAAAGCAUUUUUGCCAAUGUGACAGUUUUGCCCAAUAAACUGGUGCCCAUCAUUGACGGAGGAUCGUACCGUGUGUGGUCCAGCACCCGGGACUUGAUCCUGGAUGGCGAGAAAUCCUAUGACCCUAACUGGGAAGACUGGGAACAGACACCGUUAUAUUAUCACUGGACUUGCGUCUCGUCUUCCAAAAAUUCACCAGGUGCACGUGGCCUCAACUUCAGUGCCACAGGAGGACUGGUCACCAUCCCUUGGGCCAUGCUGGAAGCAGAUGUGGAAUACACAUUUGACCUCACCGUCUCGAAACCAGGCAUGGAUUCAGAAGCCACAAAUCAAACCGUCUUACUGAAAAAAGGGACGGUCCCCAUCGUGUCCCUGGAGUGCGUCUCCUGCAAGGCGCAGUCUGUCUACGAAGUCAGCCGGAGCUCCUACGUCUACUUGGAAGGGACCUGCUUGAACUGCCAGAACAACUCCAACCAGGAGACUAAGCCGAGAUGGACAGCUCAGAGCUUCAAAAAUGAAUCUCUGCUUUUGAACAAGAGAUCGACCUCCACAGGGAAUGCUGAGAUGAGCCUCGUCUUGCGUCCGUGGGCUCUGGAGGAUGGGGAGGGGUACACCUUCACCCUCUACAUCACAGACCUGGCCACUGGGGAAGAAGGCUAUGCUUCCAUUGACCUGUUUCCCAACCAGCCCCCCUUCGGGGGAUCGUGCCACCUUUUGCCUGCAAGUCCUGUCCAAGCAUUGGCUACCAAGAUCCACUUUGAAUGUGCAGGCUGGAGAGAUUCGGUGGGAGAAGACCCCCCCUUGGUGUACAUCCUCAUGGCCACCCGUUGCCGUCCAGGCCACUGCGACGAAUUCUUGGUGUACAAAGGAAGCCACCCUGCCCACGCAGCCUUCCUGCCGCCCGGGUUCCAAGAGCACGGCUCCCUCGUGUUAGUCUCGGUGCUUGUACAGGACCAGCUGGGAGCAACAGUGGUGGCCAUAAACAGGCAUAUGGUCAUCACCCUGCCCAGGACGCCGGAGGGAUUCCACAGUCUUCCCCAGUGGCUUUACAACAAGACGGAGGUGAUACUGCAAGGCCUGGUCAAACAGAGUGACCCCCAGCCUGUUAUUGAGUAUUCACUGGCUCUCAUCACCAUCUUAAAUGAGCAUGAAUCUUCUGCGCAUCCAAAGCUGGGAGCCGAGUCCGAUGCCCCCCUCCAGAUCUGGAUCCGGAAAAACGUUACCAAAACCUUGACCUCCUUGAAUGUCAACACCGUGGAUGACAUCCGACAGAUUGUGGCUGCGCUGGCUCAGUGUAUGGUGGCCAGUAAGGAAUUUGUCUGUCGAUCUUGCCUGACAAAGACUUUGAGGAAGCUUGAAUCGAUGAUGGCCAUUCUUCAAGGAGAGACCCUGCAAGGAACCAUGACCCCCAAAGCCAUUGCUGACAACAUCCUCGAUAUCAUGGGAGACUUAAUCCACCUCGUCAACGCCGUUUCCCAGGAGUCCGAGCGCCAGGAGCUCUCUAACACUCCGAAUCAGGAGCAGGUGGCUUCCAAAGCCUACGCUUUGUCCACUGACUUGAUGCGCAUCCUAAUGAAGUCCCGAGUGCUCAAUGAGGAGCCCCUGGAGUUGGCCGGGAGCAACAUCACGGCCAAAGGGAAACGAGCCGACCCCCAGGCCCUGCUCUGCUACGGAGACACCCCAAGCUGCCAGUUCUCCAUCCCCCAGGCCUUCCGAGCCACCUUCUCUGACCUGACGGACGUCGUCCAGGUCAUCUUCCACGUCGACUACAACCCGUUCCCCUUUGGCUACAUCACCAACUACAGCGUCUCCUCCGAGGUGGCCUCCAUGGAGUUUCAGAGCAGCAAUGGCACAGAAAUAGCGGUCGGCAGCCUGGAUGUGGAAAAGGCCAUCACCGUGGCGGUUGUAGACUCUGGGCCGAAGAACAUCACCGUGGGCACAGUGGUGGUGGAGGAGAAGAAUUCGGUGCAUGUGGUGGUCUCCAUGGAGAACAGCAACACAGAAGCCGGGCUGUAUUUCCAGAUCACCUUCAGCAUCGUCACAGAUCGUUACGUCUCCCGGGAAAAGGAGCCCUUUCUUGCCGUUUGCCUCUUCCACUCCCCUGAAUCCGGAGAGCGCAACUGCACGGCCUCCAAGGAGAUCUCUCUGCAGGAAAUGAAAGAGGGGCCGCAGGGCGACCCACGGCACUACACCAUCUUUGUUCCCCCAGGGAUUGCAGACACAGUGAGAGACCAUCACUUGAACAUCACCAACCAUUUCGUGUGGUCCCCCGUGGAGGUGACUCUGGGUCUCUACAGCUCCCUGUGCCAGUAUUUCAACGCGGAAGAGGCCCGUUGGAAGACGGAGGGCAUGGCUCCUUUGGAGGGGGCCACUCCAGAGAAGGCCGUGUGCUUAACCCAGCACCUGACUGCUUUUGGGGCAAGCCUCUUCGUUCCCUCGCACUCUGUGCAGUUCAUAAAGCCACCUCCAGGCCCCGGGCUCAACUACAUCGUUCUGCUGACUUGCGCUGUGUGUCUGGUGACUUACUCCAUGGCAGCUGUGAUUGUGCACAAAUUGGAUCUGAUCGACAUCAGUCGUGUGGGGUCGAUCCCUUUCUGUGGGAAGAACGGGCUGUACAGAUACGAAAUCUUGGUGAAGACAGGCUGGGGCAAAGGGUCAGGGACGACAGCCCACGUGGGGAUCACUUUGUAUGGGAUGGAUAGCAAAUCUGGGCACAGACAUCUGGACGAUGAUAAUGCCUUUCGCCGCAACAGUCUCGACAUCUUCCAGAUGGCCACAGAGCGGAACCUGGGCAGUGUGUGGAAGAUCCGGAUUUGGCACGACAAUAAAGGGCUCAGCCCAGCUUGGUUUCUGCAGCAUGUCAUUGUCAGGGACUUGCAGACCUACAAGAGCUACCACUUCUUGGUGAACGACUGGCUGUCUGUGGACAGCCUGGAGAAUGACGGCCUGGUGGAGAAGGAGGUCUUUGCUGCCAGUGAGGCGGACCUGAGGAGCUUCUUCCGGAUCUUCCUUGGCGAGCUGCAGCGGGGUUUCUUUGAGAGGCACAUCUGGCUCUCCCUGUGGGACCGGCCCCCACGCAGUCGCUUCACCCGGGUCCAGAGAGCAUCAUGCUGCUGCCUCCUCAUCUUCCUCUUCCUCUGUGCCAAUGCCGUGUGGUACGGGGUGGUGGCAGACGCCAACUUCAGUCAGGUGCCCAUCUCCACCCUGAUCCCGGUUAAUGGCGAGACCAUCUUGGUUGGCUUGGUUUCCAGUUUGGUGGUUUAUCCUCUGUACCUAGUUCUCCUGUUCCUCUUCCGGAUGGCACGAAGCAAGGUGAACAUCAGCCAAUCUCUGGCCCAUUCAGACCAGCAGUCCCUGGAGAUCGACAACUACCUGGACUCAUCGCUUCUGGAGAGCUCCUUCAUCACCUUCCCUGGCCUUCGGACAGAGGCUUUUUCAGAGGAAACCAAAACCGAUUUGAUCCUGGACGACUCAAAAAGCCUGAUCCGGUGGCAGUCCAACGAAGCCCUGGUCAACUGGCCAGACCUGCUCAAUGACCCAUCCAUCAUGGGCAACACCAUCCAGAAGCUGAAAAGAGGGCGGACCAGUCGUCAUCUCGGCCUGGAGGCUCCUUUGGCCCCUGAGGGGGACGGCCUGACGCCGGCCUUUCCCCAGGCUCAAGCCAGAUACUUUUCUGCUUCCGAUGAAGAUCUGAUACGGCAGAUUCUUACAGAUGGAAAUGGUGGCAUCGCUCAACCUCAGGAAGCGGGAAGCUACCCCAAGGUGGAAACGGACCUCCUCUCUGGGCUGUCAAACAUGCCGGGGGACAAGUUGGAAGCGAUCGUGUUGCAGAGACUGAACGAGAAAGGCCAGAGCGUAGCAGUCCCUGGCCGGGAACUGAAUCAUUCUGCCAAAUCAACCCGAACAGUUGUGGACCACAGUCUCCGGAAGCGCCUGCUGCCCUCUUGGUGCUCCUACUUGGCACACGCCAUCAGCCUCCUCCUCCUCCUUGUCUGCUUUGGGGUCUCUGUGUGGAUCGGAGUGGGGUUCAGCUCCAGCGUGGCCCUCAUGUGGCUGAUCUCAGGGAUUUUUAGCUUCCUCUCCUCCUUUUUGCUCUGGGAACCCCUCAAGAUCCUCCUGGAAGCCCUUUACUUUUCUCUGGUGGCCAAGCGUCUGCACCCCGAGGAGGACGACACUCUGGUGGAACAACCCGUUGUGGAACACGUCUCAGAGAAGAUCGGGAAGGUCCGGCCCCCUCAGGGCUUUGCUCUUUUCCAGGCCAAAGAGGAGGCCAGAAAAGUCAAGCUUCUACACAACCUACUCAAGAACUGCUUUGUCUACAUGUUCUUCCUGCUGGUCGUCCUUCUCACCAACUACAGUGGGCCUUCACACAACAGCCAGGCGUUUCUUUUGCAAAAGUCCAUCAAGCAGCAGCUUGGCAUCAGGCAAUUCCUGGAGAUUAAGAGAUCCGAUGACUUCUGGCUUUGGACCACGCAGGGACUGUUGCCCUUUCUGUACCGAAACCGGUCUGCCCAGGGAAGCUCGGGUAUCACCCUGGGGGUCCCACAACUGCGGCAAAUCCGUGUGCAAGAAGAGUGCUUGAGUUCGCUGGAAGAGGCUCUGAGCGGGACGAAGAGAAGAUGCGCUUUCGGUUCCAACAGCUUUGACACCACCAGCUACGCGGCUGGCUGGAAGAGCCCCUCGGACAACCUGGGGCCGCUCUGGACCUACUCUCCUCCUGACUUGGCUGGGGCCUGGUACUGGGGCUACCUUUCCAUCUAUGACAGCGGGGGUUACAUCCAGGAAUUGGGAACGACUCUCUCAGAAAGCAACGCUGGUCUGCAGGGCCUCCAGCAGAACAACUGGAUCAGCAACAGGAGCCAGGCAAUCUUUGUGGAAAUGACCCAAUACCACCCUGUUCUGGACCUCCAUGCUGCCGUCACGCUCCGGUUGGAGUUCCCCCUGGCGAAACACGCUGUGCCAGCUGUGACCGUCACUCCCUUCCCGCUGCACCCGCUUGGCAGGAGGGUUACCCCGCAGCUGCUCAUGAUGGUCUUCCUUAUGAUCCUGGUGGUCUAUUUCGUGGUCUCCGAGUCUCUCGCCAUCAAGAAGGAAGGCAAGGCUUACUUUGCCCUGCUCAGCAGCUACGGGCAGUGGCUGCUCAUCCUGGCCACCACCUGCACGGUGGUCGUCCACCUCAGCCAGGCCACUCUCGCUGAGCGGCAGUGGGCAAAGUAUCUGAAGAACAAGCGGGCCUUCACCAGCUUCUCCCCGGUGGCAUCUCUCCACGCUGCCUUCAGCUGCCUGGCUGCUUCUCUGCUCUUCCUGCUGACAGUCAAGGCUUCCCAGCAGCUGCGCUUCAUCCGACAGUGGUCCACGUUUGGCAAAGCUUUGCAGAAAUCGGCCGGGGAGCUGCUGGGCAUCGGUUUGGCCUUUCUGAUCCUGACGUUGGCUUACACACAGCUCGGCUACCUGCUGAAAGAAAAACUGGCCAUAUUGAAAAGAGAAUACAACAAAACAUUCCACAGGUUGCAGCGUGCCGAGAGAGCAGCGAAGGUUAAAAAUUACAUCAAGAAAACGGUCGGAGAGCAGAACCUGCUGCUUGAACAGGAGGAAGCUCUGAAGAACCAUGCAGGAGACCUCAGUCAACUAUCUCCAGAGCCCCCAAAGGAGGGGCAGGCUGGAAUUUCCUGCCCAGGCAGCACCGCAGAGGCCACACCUGUUCUCUUUAAGUCCGGGGCCUUUGAAGGCAGCUUGCCAGAAACAUCUGGCUCCAGAAGGACCCAUCAGUCUGGCCGAAGGGUCCUCUUUAAUUCUGUGGAGCCCCCUCCGGGGAGGAACUGCAGCCUGCACUUGGCCACUGGAACCGGUGGAGAGCAGAGAGAGAUGCUCUCUUUGGCCCAGAGGGGAGAAACGGCGUGGGAGGGGCAUCAGGGAGAGCAUGAGAGGGCCACAGACCAAGGCUCAGAGUCCCCAGCUUUUAAGAGGAGCAGCAGCAGCCUCUUGGACCCUGGCCAGGGGAGCCCCCCCGAGUCCCCCCUGCGAGCUAGCCAAGGAGGAAGUGGCGAUGUUACUCCUAUAGUGUCAGAUCCAGACUCCGAGCAGGACAUGUGGAUGCAAACCGAUAUUCCUGGGGUAACGCAAGAACUUCCUUCUUCCCUGCCGCACACGAGUCGGGGAUCUUCACUUGACCCCCUGAGCCAAGAGAGUGUUUCUGUUCGGGAGGACUUGGCUGCUGCGAAUGUGUCAUGUGCCAGUGUGCAGAAUGAGGAGAAGGAAGAGGAGAAGUCUGGGUGGGGGGGCAAGGAAGAUUCAGGAAGAUUGGCGGGCCCAGCGGCGACCCCUGGCGCUGCUCAAGGAGAGAGAACUGUUCCUGGUUGGCAUCCAGAUGACACGGAUAACGGAGACCCCCCCAGCAAGAAGGCAAGCGGAGAGGAGGAAGGGCACAGCCUUGAAGUGGGGUCACCCCCCCUGGGAGGGGUCUCCCCCAGUAAGGGGGUGCUGAGCUCUUGCACAGUGGUUGAGGGACUCAUGUUUCCCCUGGAAUAUUAUGUGCGCAUGACCCGGCGACUCUCCAGGCGCCAGGAGGAGGUGAACUUGGAGGCGGUCAUUCAGAGCCAGCUGGGCAAAGGCAGAAAGGGCCGGAGGGUGACCCACAAACAGCUGGCGGCAAAUCCAACCCAGCCCUCCCAGGAGCUCCCCAAAAGUGAUGAUCGACUGAGCUCAACUCCCAGUAUGCCAGGGGAUACUUCUGAGUCCACGCCUGUCUCUCGCGAGAGUGCCGGGUCCAGCCGCGGCCAGGGCAGGAGAAGCCUGAGGCUGAGGAGGAGGAGGACCCAGCAGAGGACUUCCUCCAGCACAGACAGAGGACGCAGCCCGCCAGCGGGCUCCCUGGAUCCGGCUUCUCCUGCUGUCUGGAUGGUGGAGAAUUCUGCUGUUGCGGCUUUGCCUCCUGGCCCUCCGUGUAGGGAGGGGUCCCGUCUCAGCUGGCUGCCUCCCAGUCUGCCCCACCAAGAGUUCCACCUGCCCGAUGAGGACUUCGGCUACCUGAAGUCCAAGAAGCUCAAAGUCUGCCCUGAGAAGCCGUUGAGGGUCUCGGAUGCUGGGGGAUCCAGCAAGGGUCCUAGGAGCCCACCUGGGGAGGCUCCUCAAAUCCUCCUGCCUGGAAUGAGGGGGACCCCCUCAGCUCUUUCUUCCCGUGAGUUGCUCCUCUCCCCGGCCUUGGACACUGGACAGAGCCUUUUGCAAACCCCCGAUUUCCCCCUGGUGGGGGCAACCCCAGCUCCCCUGCAGUCCUUCCCAGGCGCCCUUGGGGCCUCUCCUUCGCAAGGAGCAGUGUCUCCUGGCCCAGGAAGGGGCAUGGGGCAGCCUCGCUCGCUGGGCCCAGCUGGAAUUGACAGGAAGGCUGGGAAAGAAGCCGCCAGCCCAUCAGAGGAGCCAUUCGAGUGUGACAAGGAGCCUCCCAGGCAGAGCAGCCCAGCUGAAGAGGUCCAAGCGGAGGCACCAGCGGGCACUCCGAGAGAAGGCCACUUGAAAAUGACUUCAAAACUGAAGAACGGCUCCGGCUCCUGCUUGGUGGACAUGAGCGCUGUGUGGUGGGAAGCUGCUGACUCCGAAGAAUUGUGCGUUGUGACGGCUGAGGAAACAUCCAUUUCUCUCUGGAGGCCUCUGGAACUUGGCCAGUGGGGGACGGUGCACACCUGGCACUUUACAAAGCUUCCAGUUCUCCAAAUAGUUCCCCUGUCGGGGGCUCGCAGCGUGGUGUGCGCAGUGCUGGGGCGCCUGGAAACAGCCGAGAUAAGGCUUCUGUUCCAUUCUUCUGAAGACGGCUGUGCUAAAGAGGAGCUGCUCAAAGCCGGAAACAUAAACGCCGUUCUUGGUCUGACCGAUAGAAAGCUGGUCUGCAGCUGUUGGUCCCUGCAAGGCCAAGAAGUGGAAGUCUUUUCUUUCUCUGAGAUGGGAAGGAGCCAUAAGAGGUGGCCUUUGAUGCCCCCGGAAGAGACCGUCUUGGCUUUCGCCGAUGUGGCUGGACUGCAGGAGGCUCUGCUUGGAAUGACCGCCAUGAACUGCAUCGUGCUCUGGUGAGCCCACAGGCUGCUCCGCAGAACUUUCCCCUGGCCCAGCUAUUUUUCUUCAUUAAAAUUCUGACUCAGUUCAACAAAGAUGUUACAGUAGAUAACACAUAAAAACGUAUGUAUAAACUAUAUUGCUGUUGCAAAAAACCGCUCAGUGCAUAAAUGGAAAAAUGUAAAACUAACUGAAAGGGGCGGAAGAGUGAAAUAACUGGAAAAAAGAAAUUCAGAAAACUAGGACUAAAACAAAAAUUCUAAUAUUUCCAGUACAAAAGUUUUAAUUAUGUAUACAUACAUACAGAAAAAGGGACUUGGUGGUAAAAAAGGGACACGGUGGCUCAGUGGCUAAGACACUGAGGUCAAUCGAAAGGUUGGCAGUUCAGCGGUUCGAAUCCCUAGUGCUCCGUAAUGGGCAGUUCAAAAGCAGGUAAAAAAUGCAAAUAGAAAAAUAGGGACCACCUUUAGUGGGAAGGGAACAGCGUUCCGUGCGCCUUUGGCAUUGAGUCAUGCCGGCCACAUGACCACGGAGGCAUCUUCAGACAGCACUGGCUCUUCGGCUUUGAAACGGAGCACCGCCCUCUAGAGUCGGGAACGACUAGCACAUAUGUGCGAAGGGAACCUUUACCUUUAACAGAUUUUUGCAAUUCAGAUUUUAAAAAUUGCCUUAGGCUGAGACCAUGCAGAACUAAAUAUUAUCCUGUCCAGUCUUGCCCCUCAGUUGAAACUGAGUAUUUGAAUAGAGUUGACCAAAAUAAACAUCCGAUUCAUAUUUCCAGAAGUAUACUCUCAACCUUAUCUAUCAAAUUUCAAAAUUAAAAAGCUCCAUUUUUAGUUUAGCAGUGCAUAGAGGUGUGUGAGGACCUUAACUUCCUUCCCAGAACAUAAUUCAUAACAGCGAUAAUAUCUAACUUGCUUCCUGGAGUUGUGAGUGCUCCAUCACUGGAGAUUUCCAAGAAGAAAUUGGUCAGCCCUUUAUCCAGGAUGCUAUAAGGCUCCUGCCUUGAACAGGGGGUUGAACUAGAUGACCUCCAAGGUCUCUCCAGCUCUGGGAUUCUGUGUUCUAACAAGGAACUUUCACCAAAUACGGCCAUAACAUCUGUGGCAUAGAAAGGAUGACAGCUGAACUUUUUAAAAAAAUCCUUGGAAGAGUCCAGCAGAUAUGAACAGUUGGCUCUGAGAGGCUCAGCCUUCCUUCUUGGUGUUAGACCUGCUGUUCUGUCUUCCUCCGCCUCCGUCCGAAUGAUGGCUUAAUUACUCGGCACUAUCAGCUCUGGCGGCAAAAGAGCCAGCGUAUGCCAAGAGCCCUCGUUAUCUUCCACAACGCUGGUGAGUCACAGACUUCAGCUCUAGUCAAUCAGUGGAUUUGCCUGUUACAAAGAGACACACCAGCUCUUGCUGCCUUUUAUAUCCUGUGGGGUGUGGCUCCAUGACUCAGCACUUCCUAGGCCUGCCCCACCCCUGCUUCUGUUGUUCCCUCCUCUCCUGCCUACGAAACCUAGGGUCCAACCAAGCCUGAUUGCUGUCAGCUGGGUCUGCAGGCGUGGCCGGGGGGGGGGAAGAGUCGGGACGGAGGCCUCGUUAUCUCUUCCACCUGGCCUGCCUCUGGCUCCUGGAGCUGAGCCAGGGGAGCCGGUGCUCCCGAGGAACCUGGGCACCGGGCAGUUGCUGAAGAAGAUUCGGGUGGGAUGGUCCUUCCCUGCAUCCGUCUGCCACAAGGCCUACUCCGAUUCGGGCCUCCUCUUCCUGGUCUUCAGCCACCCACACACCA